rnacentral:rRNA from 1 species
GACGAACGCUGGCGGCGUGCUUAACACAUGCAAGUCGAACGGAAAGGCCCUGCUUUUGUGGGGUGCUCGAGUGGCGAACGGGUGAGUAACACGUGAGUAACCUGCCCUUGACUUUGGGAUAACUUCAGGUAACUGGGGCUAAUACCGGCUAGGAGCUCCUGCUGCAUGGUGGGGGUUGGCAAGUUUCGGCGGUUGGGGAUGGUCUCGCGGCUUAUCAGCUUGUUGGGGGGGUAGUGGCUUACCAAGGCUUUGACGGGUAGCCGGCCUGGGAGGGUGACCGGGGACAAGGGGACUAGGGGAGGCCGCAGAGGGGAAUGGUGGGCAGUGGGGGGAAGUAUGGUGCAAGGGGGGGAAGCGUAUGACGAAAACCCCGGGGUGGGAAAGUCGGCUUUGGGGUGAGAAACCGAGUUCGGUUGAUACGAAGGCUGAGUGACGGUAAUGGGAGAAGAAGCACCGGCUAACUCCGU